CCCGUGCAGAAGAAAAAGCGUUUUGCUCUGUGUGAUUUCUGAAGGCUGUUGUGGAUCUCUCAUGUAUCUCAUGGAAACUGGAAGUAAACACACGAAGAGAUGGUGAGAGAGAGAUGAAGACACAAACCAGUGAAAACAUGAAGCUGGAGAAGCUCAUCAGAUGGAGCAGCAACAAUGAUAUAAAACCGAACUUCUCUGCUGAUCCAAACACACCUGUGGAGAGUUGCUGUCAUCAACUACAGUAUCAAACAUGAUGCAAGGUUGUGAAUAGAUUAAAUGAAAUCCAUCAG